rnacentral:misc_RNA from 1 species
UACAGAGGCCCCAAGCGUUACCCGGAUUUACUGGGCGUAAAGGGUGCGUAGGUGGUCAUGUUAGUCUCUCGUUAAAUCAUCGGGCUUAACCCGAUACGCGCGGGAGAAACGGCAUGACUAGAGGAUGCGAGAGGUGUACGGAACUCUAGGUGUAGGGGUGAAAUCCGUUGAUAUCUAGGGGAACACCAAAAGCGAAGGCAGUACACUGGCGCAUUUCUGACACUGAGGCACGAAAGCGUGGGUAGCGAACGGG